AUAUAUAUAGUAUAAAUAAUACAUUUAACUUCCAAUUAAAAAAUUUUAUAAAAUAAAUAUGUAUA
rnacentral:tRNA from 1 species